UACUCCACAGAGAGAGAUUCCAGCAGGGCGGCAAGCCGAGUUAGGCGUGCGCCACCAUGGACGGCGGGGAGAAGAAGGAUGCCACGGCGGCGGCGGCGGCGGCGGCCAAGAAGGUGUCGCUGCUCGGCAUGUUCCGGUACGCCGACCGCCUGGACGUGCUGCUGAUGGUGGUCGGCGCGGUGGGCGCGGUGGCCAACGGCGUGACGGAGCCCCUCAUGACCAUCCUCUUCGGCAACGUCAUCGACUCCUUUGGCGACAGCACCGCGCAGAGCAUCAUCCGCAGCGUCAGAAAGGUUGUUCUCAACUUCAUAUAUCUGGGCAUCGGAGCAGCAGUUGUCUCCUUCCUUCAGGUCUCGUGCUGGACGAUGGCUGGAGAAAGGCAGUCAGCCCGCAUCCGUUCUUUAUACCUCAACGCUGUCCUGAGACAAGAUAUUGCAUUCUUCGAUACAGAGUUGACAACAGGCCAAGCAGUUUCCAGGAUGUCCAGCGAUACCCUCGUGAUUCAGGACGCUCUUGGCGAGAAGGCAGGAAAGCUUCUACAACUCGCAUCUGCCUUUUUUGGUGGUUUUGUAAUAGCAUUUACAAGAGGCUGGCUCCUCACUCUUGUCAUGCUAACAUCAUUACCGCUAAUUGCUAUUGCCGGUGCAGUUUCUGCACAGUUUCUAACCAAGGUUUCUAGCAAGAAACUAACAUCUUAUGGGGAUGCUGGGGACACAGUUGAGCAGACCAUCGGAGCUAUACGCACGGUAGUUUCGUUCAAUGGUGAGAAAAAAGCUAUUGCAAUGUACAAAAAUUUGAUCAAGAAGGCAUACAAGACUGAUAUUUUGGAAGGCCUCAUCAAUGGUUUUGGCAUGGGAUCUGUCUUUUGCAUUUUGUUCAGCAGCUAUGGGCUAGCUUUCUGGUAUGGUGGAAAGCUAAUCGUUGACAAAGGCUACACUGGAGGGAAAAUUAUAACAGUUUUGUUUGCUGUGUUAACUGGCGCUACUUCUUUAGGUAAUGCAACACCUUCUUUAUCUGCAAUUGCCGAGGGUCAGUCUGCAGCAUACAGAUUGUUUGAAACCAUUGAAAGGAAACCAGAAAUAGAUUCAGGUGAUACAAGCGGCAUGGUCUUAGAAGAUAUCAAGGGUGAUGUCGAGCUAAAAGAUGUUCACUUUCGCUACCCUUCAAGACCUGAUCAAUUGAUAUUAGAUGGAUUGUCAUUACAAGUAGCCAGUGGGACAACAAUGGCCAUAGUUGGAGAGAGUGGAAGUGGCAAGUCAACUGUUAUCAGCCUAGUUGAACGGUUCUAUGAUCCACAGGCUGGUGAAGUUCUGAUAGACGGUAUUAACAUCAAGAACAUUAGGCUCAGUUGGAUAAGAGAGAAGAUUGGUCUGGUCAGCCAAGAACCGGUGCUCUUUAUGACCUCCAUUAAAGAUAACAUCAUGUACGGUAAAGAAGAUGCGACACUUGAAGAGAUCAAGAGAGCAGCUGAGCUUGCAAAUGCAGCAAACUUCAUCGACAAGUUGCCGAAUGGCUAUGAUACAUUGGUUGGGCAGCGUGGCACACAGCUUUCUGGAGGACAGAAGCAAAGAAUUGCAAUAGCAAGAGCCAUCCUUAAAGAUCCAAAAAUACUUUUGCUUGAUGAAGCAACAAGUGCAUUGGAUGUGGAAUCUGAGCGGAUAGUUCAGGAGGCACUGAAUAGGAUAAUGGUGGAAAGGACCACACUUGUUGUUGCUCAUCGUUUAAGCACUGUAAGGAAUGUUGACUGCAUAACAGUUGUUCGUCAAGGGAAAAUAGUUGAACAAGGCCCUCAUGAUGCAUUGGUGAAGGAUCCUAAUGGAGCCUACUCCCAGCUUAUUAGGCUACAAGAGAGUCGUGCCGAUGAAAGGCGUAAACAUGCAGACUCUGGGGUACCAGACUCCAGAUCAAAAAGCACCAGUUUGUCAUUUAGACAGUCAAUGAAUAAAGAUUCUUUUGGUAAUAGCAACAGAUAUUCCUUCAAGAACCCCUUAGUAUUGUCAGCUGAACUACAUGAAGAUAGGAUCAUGGGUGGACAGAAAACAGAAGAGCUCUCUGAUGUUGUGGCACAUAAGAAAGCAUCAAUAGGACGUCUUUUCAAGCUAAACAUACCAGAAGUUCCAGUUCUUCUAUUAGGUUCUAUAGCAGCAGCAGUACAUGGAGUCAUUUUCCCAUUGUUUGGUAUAUUAAUGUCUGGUGUUAUAAAAUCGUUCUAUGAACCACCAGAUAAGCUGAAAAAGGAUACUAGCUUUUGGGCUCUGAUAUCUGUUGUUAUGGGGGUUGCAAGUUUGAUUUCAAUCCCAGCAGAAUAUUCUUUGUUUGCGAUUGCUGGUGGCAAACUUAUAGAGCGUAUACGUACUUUGUCAUUUCAAAGCAUUGUGCACCAAGAAGUUGGUUGGUUUGACAAUGCCUCGAAUUCCAGUGGGGCGCUUGGUACAAAGCUCUCAGUUGACGCCUUAAAUGUCCGACGCUUAGCAGGAGAUAAUUUGGCCCUUAUAGUGCAGUCCAUAGCUUCCUUAACAACUGGAUUUGUCAUAGCCUUUGCUGCAGACUGGAGGCUUGCACUGAUCAUCACAUGUGUGAUUCCUUUGGUAGGGGUACAAGGUUAUGCUCAAGUAAAGUUCUUGAAGGGGUUUAAUGAAGAUGCUAAGGAGAUGUAUGAAAAUGCAAGUCAAAUUGCAACUGAUGCUGUCGGUAGUAUCAGAACAGUAGUAUCUUUCUGUGCUGAGAAAAGAGUGGUUGCAACAUACAACGAGAACUGUGAAGCUCUAAGGAAACAGGGCAUUCGAAGUGGAAUUGUUGGAGGGCUUGGUUAUGGCUUCUCAUUCUUAAUGUUGUAUCUCACAUAUGGUCUUUGUUUCUAUGUUGGUGCACAGUUUGUACGUCAGGGAAAAACUACUUUUCCAGAUGUUUUCAAGGUUUUCUUCGCCUUAGUUUUGGCAUCUAUUGGGGUUUCACAGGCUAGUGCACUGGCUUCUGAUGCAACAAAGGCAAGGGAUUCUGCUAUAUCCAUUUUCAGUAUUCUGGAUAGGAAGUCAAAAAUCGACUCAAGUAGCGAUGAUGGGAUGACACUGGAUAAUGUCACUGGCAAUAUUAAUUUUAACAAUGUCGGUUUCAAGUACCCGCAACGCCCUGAUGUCCAGAUAUUCAGUGACUUUACCUUGCACAUUCCUUCUGGAAAGGAUGGAUUCUCGGCAGAGAUUGGUCCACAGAUGCAUAUCUACCUGAGGUCCUGAGCAGGGUGGUGUUCGAGCAGCUUCCGAUUUGGUCGUCAAUCGCGUGCCCUGGUUCCGAUCGAUUCAGCCUUGUGGAUUGGCGACGACGGCCACCAGGGAUCCAAUCUCCUCUGCUAUAGCUUGGUGUUCCUUCCAUGGAGCGGCAGGUUUGUUUGGAUGAGCAUUCAUUGAUGCCUACGGUGAGUCUGAUGCUCCUUUUUUUUCUCACAUUAAUUCGAUUCUCCUGCUGUUGCCUGAUUACUCCUGUUGGUGGCGACAAUUGUUUGUGAUAAUGAUGAUUGGGUUGAAGAAUUGAUGAUGAUUGAUUGUCCGCAUUGUUGGUGACGAUUUGUGAUUGGAUCCCUGGUGUUAUUUGGAGUAGUAAGCGUACCUAUUAGCAAUCCCAAAUUUAGUGACAGCUGGUGCAGGAGCAACCAGUUCAGCUUUGUUCUAUUUUGGUGACCUGAGCAGUUUGAAGUAUUUCUGGCAUAUUCUGUUGUGCCUCGUCGCCUCCUGUCCUGGUCACAUACAUCAUCGUAGGUUGUGGCGACGAGUUGCUGUUUUGGAUCUGACCAAAUCUCCUUUAAUUGCCCAUUCAGUCAAGGCUCCGUAGCUUCUUCUCCACAUAGUGAACUUUGGAUGCCUCGUAUAAUUUUGUUGUUAAAUGUUGAUGUACCUAAUUUGAACAGUUCGUUACUUGAGUUUCUUCAUGAGAUAUCCUACUGCCUACGCAUGUCCCUGACUGGCAAGCUAUGGGCAAUGAGCACCCCCAGCCUCAACCAGCUCCGAUCUGAAUACAGCUAGUAGAACACCCUCUGUUGAGAAGCUGAGCGCCAACACAAUCCUUUCAACCUUGCUCUGUGGUGGGAAUUAUAACAAUUACCUUGCCAUGUCCGUUCUAGUUCAGUUAAACAAUUACCCUACUCUAUAGUGAGCUUGGCAAUGACCUGUGAAUUAAUUGUUUCUUGGGAUUAAUAUUUUUUUAUUUAUUACUAGUUCAUGGUAUUUUUUUUUCAAAAUACCAUAAAUGAUUUCCCUGUUCUCAGUUUGUCUCCCUCACUUGUGGAUAGUCUGAGGACACAAGGAGCAUAUUCUACUGGGUCUCCUGUCCAGGACUAGUUCAGAUGCUCCUGUGCUCCUUGAGAAGCUCAGCUUUAGGCAUGAGAGGUGAGCUCUUACCUAUUGCUGCUUGAUCACUUUAUGUAUUCUUGAUCUUUCCUUAGACAGAGGCAUGCUUAACCUUUUUAAUUGAUUUAACUUUCAAUAGUUUUAUAUUAAAUAAUUCAUGCUUUGUAUGUCUUAUAUGGAGAAAGAAUAUGCAGAAAUGAAGCACUUCCUUUGUGCUGAUCAUAGCUUUUUUACUUAGUAUAUUCAGUCCUUUCCUUUGCCAUUAAAUUAUGAAAUCUCUGGUGCAUGUAUACCUUUGGACCUUGCUUGAUCUAAAUAUUUACAUGUUCAGUGCAGCUGAUUAAUACUCUACUGUUCAUGGAUCCUAUUUACAGGAUGAUGUUAAAGUUUUAAGGUUGCCGACUUUUACUUUGGUUAGCACAGAUUGUAGGUUAGAUGACAUCUAGUAAUCUCUGUUGCUUUGUUUUAGUUUUGAUGCUACUGUUAAUAUUGAGUCCCUGUAUACAGUGUCAGCAUGAUUGCAUAGGUGGAAUAAUUAUGGCUAAACUGAAAUGGCUCACGGAAUCUAGGAAUAAAUUAAACAAAAGAUCUGGAAAACUUAAAACCAUAAGACUGGAUUGGAGAAAUCUUUUCUUAAAAAUACACAGGUGCAUUGCUGCUGCGAUUCGGAUGAAGGAUAUGGUUGGACAAUCAGAAGCAGGUUGUUGAACUUAGACAUGGCUGGAAGCACACAAGCCUAAGAUCCAGCAGCACAAUCUGAACUGCAGCUGUUUUUAGCUGCCAAGUUCCCCUUGACAUCAGAUGGUGUAGUGGACACCACGAUCUCCAUUAUUGACAGUGUCAUCUUUCAGCGCUACCCAUCAUCACAAUUAGGUGUUUAGGGACAGUUCCCCUUCAUCAUUUGAUGGAUUUUGUGCAGAAAGCAUUUGUUGUACAGUAGAUAUAUUCUGAGUUUCAUGUUAGGAUGGUAUAUUUAGAGUCUAUGUGUAUAGUUUCUUAUAAAAAUAUAUGUUCGUAGUGGCAGGUGAUAGAAAUAAUGAUGCGAUUACGAGUUCAUCUGUGUUUAUGGUAUUUAUGAACCGGCUCAGAAAAAAUGUGUGGUGUUCGUAGAUAAUGAGAUUUUAUUUAUGAACCGGCUCAGAAAAAAUGUGUGGUGUUCGUAGAUAAUGAUAUUUUAGCAUCAACA